GAUGAACGCUGGCGGCGUGCCUAAUACAUGCAAGUCGAGCGAACAGACGAGGCUCUUGCUCCUCUGACGUUAGCAGCGGACGGGUGAGUCACACGUGGAUAACCUACCUAUCUGACUUGGAUCACUUCGGGAAACCGUAGUUAAUACCGGAUACUAUAUUCAACCGCAUGGUUCAAUAGUGAAAUACGGUUUUGCUGUCACUUCUCGAUCGAUCCGCUCCGCAUUAGCUAGUUGGUACGGUAACGGCUUACCAAGGCAACGAGGCGUAGCCGACCUGAGAGGGUGAUCGGCCACACGGGAACUGAGACACGGUCCAGACGCCUAAGGGAGGCAGCAGUAGGGAAUCUGCCGCAAUGGGCGAAAGCCUGACGGAGCAACGCCGCGUGAGUGACGAAGGUCUUCGGAUCGUAAAACUCUGUUAUUAGGGAAGAACAAAUGUGUAAGGAACUAUGGACGUAUUGACGGUACCUAAUCAGAAAGCCACGGCUAACUACGUG
rnacentral:rRNA from 1 species